CACUCCUCCAUAAAGCAGAACUGGAUUCCUGAGAAAAAACUCCAGAGUACAAAAACAAAUCUAGUAAUUUCAGAUCAGACCUGGAAAUACUACCUCAUGGCUCUCAAAGGGCAACACAGUUUCUUCCAUCUGACCACAAUUCAGCCGUCUAUGGGAUUUUUAGGGGAAAUGAUACAUCAGUGAGAGAGUAUGAGCUGGGAGGAACAACAAGAUUUUGGCAGCAGAACGCCUUCAUUAGUCACAAAUGUGCUCCUCAUUUAGGACUGCUUGCCGCCACGGGGAUCCUCAUGAACACAGGACAACAUUUUUAUUUCUUUAUCACCUGGUGACCGAACAUACAGUCUAGCAGAUGGAUGUCUACAAAGACAAGCCAAAAACUCAGCAGCCAGGUCAAGGUUCUUCCAGUGACCAGGUGUACAAGAAGUCAGGAGGGAGCAUGACCAGAACAGCUAACCUGAACUGGCCAAAGGGAUAUUCCAAACCACAGAACAUCAUGCAGAGUACAUAAACUUGGGGAGAGUGGCCAGAAUCUGCUGAUUUCUGCUUGGGAAUGGGCUGGGCAUUGAUCAGUGGGUAGUGACUGUACUGUGAAUUUCUUAUUUCUUUGUGGUUUAUUUCUCCCUUUCUCUUUCUUUCUCUCUCCCCAUUUCUCUAAAAUUUUUGUUACUUUUAUUGUUAUUGUUUUUAUUAUGAAUAUUAUUUUCAUUAUUAUUGUUGUUAAUAUAUUUUAUGAAUAUGUUAUGAAUUAUUAAACUGGUUUUAUCUCAGCCCA